rnacentral:pre_miRNA from 1 species
UAGCAGCACGUAAAUAUUGGCGUAGUGAAAUAUGUAUUAAACACCAAUAUUACUGUGCUGCUUCA